rnacentral:rRNA from 1 species
UCCAACCCUAUUUUYCGAUGCUAGUGAGCGUUUUCGAUGGAUACGACUACAAUAUCUGGAUUUGUUCCCAUUAGAGAUCAGACAAACGUAAUUCGAACGUUUAUACACGGAAAUCGAGGAUUUUUAGUUGUUUCGGUACCAAUUUUUACCCACCUGCGCAUUAAUAAUCCAUUUUUGUGUCAAUUUUGAGGUUAAUUUUUAAAAUUGUCGUCCAUUCCCUAUGAAAUCAUUUAUUUAGUUACAAAAAGUGUUUGAAAAAAGGUUCUCCCCCUUUUUUUUUUUUUUUUUUUAAUACCUAAUAGUUUCUGUAUUAUUUAUUAUUGGAUGAGUUGAUAAUGCUUUCUCAAAAUGAGUUAUAUGCAAAUAGUGUGCGAAUG